GCCGACGUUGGCCAGUGGCAGGCCCAUCUCGUUCUAUUAUCUAGAAUGUGAAAAUCAUGAGAUCUAUGAGAGCUACGGAGGUUCGAUUCCUCCCGACGGGG